UCCAAAUAUUGGAGGAGCCCCACUGGUCCUACGAGGAGAGCCCGGGCCUGACCUGAUGCACCUUAAGAGCCAACCGGCUAGUGCACGCAUGUAGGAGCGUUGAGAGGUUAUCCAUAACUCGAAACAUGCUUUCCAGUUCCUGAGUUCAGCCUCAAGAUUGGCAGCUGAACGGGCUAGCCUGUGUGGCUCAGUAGUUGUUGUUGAUACAGCACCCUGCUUCUUUGCCUCUGCUAUUUUAGAAGGCGUUCCAGCCAGCAAGAGCUUGGCUUCAUCCAAGCAGAGAAAGAUCAAAAAGAAAAUGCCAGGAAGACGGUGGAUGCUGCUGAAUGAUGUUUACCCUUGUACCAAUUCUAGAAGUUGAGGCUGCAGCUCUUCAUCCCUCAGAGCUUCUAUCCUCUUUGAAACAGCUUCAACCGAGUGUAUUGAAACCUUUAUCUGGACUGUUAGAAAAGAAGGUUACAACUGGAGAGAUUAUUGAUUUGCUCUUACUAUUCUACAUAUAAUGAAUAUGGAGUCAUGCUUUCUUCAGAGUUGGUUUGAAGAUGGAUUCCUCGGAGACGUCACUACUGCUUGCAUAACCUUCAUCUCUGGAACUUGAAGAAUUCAUUAAGAAUCUUGAUGAGGAUGAUCUAGAUGAAGCCGAGCGAAUCAAAGCUACUGGAUUCAACAUUUUCAUACCUGCAAAAAAACAAGAAUAUUGUAAUUGAUACCCUGAAAGUUUUGGAUAGUCAAGAAGCAGAACUAAAACAAAACAGUAUGUGCAUUUCAAUGAUACAUGAGUAUUUGUAUAUUUGAUGGCUGUGUUUGACACUA